GCAGUCGACGGUGACGAGGGGCUUGCUCCUCUGAUCAGUGGCGAACGGGUGAGUAACACGUGAGUAACCUGCCCUUCACUCUGGGAUAACGCUGGGAAACCGGUGCUAAUACUGGAUAUGACCUACUCGGGCAUCCGAUGUGGGUGGAAAGAUUUAUUGGUGGAGGAUGGACUCGCGGCCUAUCAGCUUGUUGGUGAGGUAAUGGCUCACCAAGGCGACGACGGGUAGCCGGCCUGAGAGGGCGAUCGGCCACACUGGGACUGAGACACGGCCCAGACUCCUACGGGAGGCAGCAGUGGGGAAUAUUGCACAAUGGGCGAAAGCCUGAUGCAGCGACGCCGCGUGAGGGAUGAAGGCCUUCGGGUUGUAAACCUCUUUCAGCAGGAAAGAAGCGGCCGGGUUUUCUUGGUUGUGACGGUACCUGCAGAAGAAGCACCGGCUAACUACGUGCCAGCAGCCGCGGUAAUACGUAGGGUGCAAGCGUUGUCCGGAAUUAUUGGGCGUAAAGAGCUUGUAGGCGGUUUGUCGCGUCUGCUGUGAAAUUUCGGGGCUCAACCCCGAACUUGCAGUGGGUACGGGCAGACUAGAGUGUGGUAGGGGAGACUGGAAUUCCUGGUGUAGCGGUGAAAUGCGCAGAUAUCAGGAGGAACACCGAUGGCGAAGGCAGGUCUCUGGGCCACUACUGACGCUGAGAAGCGAAAGCAUGGGGAGCGAACAGGAUUAGAUACCCUGGUAGAAUCACUAGUGAAUUC
rnacentral:rRNA from 1 species